rnacentral:rRNA from 1 species
AGAGUUUGAUCCUGGCUCAGAACUAACGCUGGCGGCGCGUCUUAAACAUGCAAGUCGAACGGUGAAAAUGAAGCUUCGGCAGAAACACGAGUGGCGAACGGGUGAGUAACACGUAAGAACCUGCCCUGUAGUAAGGGACAACCUCGGGAAACCGGGGCUAAUACCCCAUGGUCUCGAAAGAGUAAAGAGUAGCAGUACUCGCUAUAGGAUGGGGCUUGCGGUCUAUCAGCUUUGUUGGUGAGGUAAUGGCUCACCAAGGCUACGACGGAUAGCCCGGUCUGAGAGGAUGAUCGGCCACAUUGGCACUGAGACACGGGCCAGACUCCUACGNGAGGCAGCAGUUAAGAAUCUUGCGCAAUGGGCGAAAGCCUGACGCAGCGACGCCGCGUGAGGGAUGAAUGUCUUCGGAUUGUAAACCUCAUUAAAAUGGGAAGAAUAAGCAUGGUCGGUGAGGCCAUGUGAUGACGGUACCAUUCUGAAGCCCCGGCUAAUUACGUGCCAGCAGCCGCGGUAAUACGUAUGGGGCAAGCGUUGUUCGGAUUUAUUGGGCGUAAAGGGCACGCAGGCGGAUCUUUAAGUUGGGUGUUUAAUCUUCAGGCUUAACCUGAAGUCUGCAUCCAAUACUGGAGAUCUUGAGUCCUAGAGGGGAGAGCGGAAUUCUCGGUGUAGCGGUGGAAUGCGUAGAUAUCGAGAAGAACACCAGUGGCGAAGGCGGCUCUCUGGCUGGGUACUGACGCUCAGGUGCGAAAGCGUGGGUAGCAAACAGGAUUAGAUACCCUGGUAGUC